rnacentral:rRNA from 1 species
UACGGAGGGUGCAAGUGUUAUCCGGAUUCACUGGGUUUAAAGGGUGUGUAGGCGGGCUGUUAAGUCAGUGGUGAAAUCUCCGGGCUCAACCCGGAAACUGCCAUUGAUACUAUCAGUCUUGAAUAUCGUUGAGGUUGGCGGAAUAUAUCAUGUAGCGGUGAAAUGCAUAGAUAUGAUAUAGAACACCGAUUGCGAAGGCAGCUAACUAAGCGAUGAUUGACGCUGAGGCACGAAAGCGUGGGGAUCAAACAGG